GUUCUUGGUUCUUUCUGAAGUCAUGUAGAUAAUAAUUCUAGCAGAUCAAAUCAAGAUCUCAUGGCUCCCUCAGCAAUCAAGGCACUAUUCCCAAUGGUUUGCUGCAGUCUAGUGGGAAACUGCUUCAGGGAAGGCUUAGUUCUUUUCCACCUUCUAGCCUCCUCUUCAAGUCUGGAAGCCAGCCUGGAGACAAGGAAACUACAACUUCAAGGUUGAAUUCAUCUAACUUCAACUUCCAGCCACUGGAUCUUCUUAUGCUUUUAUCAGGAAGAUUGAAGAGUGCCCCCUUCCCACUCCACCAUCUCUUCUUUUCAAUGUUGCAGCGAUUUGCCUUUCAAACUUAUUUAAAGCUGAAUUGGUUAUGCGCCUUAAGCCUUAUGUCAAAGCUUGUUUUCCAGUCCCUGAAUCAUUUGUGACCCUCUGACCUCUCCAGUAUUUCCACAUACUUCUUGAACUGUGGAAACCAGAACUGGACACUGUAUUCUAAUAGCAGUUUCAAUGCUGUGUACAGAGGCAAGGUCACUCCCUACUAUUUGAUAUUCCCUUGUCUAUGUAGCCAAGGAUUACACUACCCCUUUUUACCACAGAAUUGCACUGAAAGCUCACACUGACAGUUAACCUGUGAAGAGCCUUAUGUCCUUCAGAGACGCUGCUUUUCAAGACAGUCGCCACAUCGAGGUAUAGCCUGCAUUCUUUGUUGUGAGAUGAUCUUGCAUUUGGCUAUUAAAAUGUAUCUUCUUGAAUUAUGACCACUUAACUAAGCACCCCAGAUCACCAACAGUGACCUGUCAUUAUAGGCCACCCCACCAAUCUUUGGCAUCUGCAAACUUGACAGCAAAAAUUGUAUAUCAUUUAAAUAGUAACUUUUCAACAGAGCAGUGUUUGGACCAAGAACUGACUCCUAGGGUGCCCUGCUAGAAACAACCCAAUUAAUUAGUCACCCCACUAACAAUUACAU